rnacentral:rRNA from 1 species
CACGUAGGGGGCAAGCGUUGUCCGGAUUGACUGGGCGUACAGCGCGCGCAGGCGGCUGUGGACGUGCCCUGUGACAGGCGGAGGCUCAACCUCCGACGGCCAGGGUAGACGCCACGACUAGAGGCAGGGAGAGGGCAGUGGAAUACCCGGUGGAGCGGUGAAAUGCGUAGAGAUCGGGUGGAACACCAGGGGCGAAGGCGGCUGCCUGGCCCUGACCUGACGCUGAGGCGCGAGAGCGUGGGGGAAGCAACCGG